rnacentral:rRNA from 1 species
AACGAACGCUGGCGGCAUGCCUAACACAUGCAAGUCGAACGAGACCAUUCGGGUCUAGUGGCGCACGAGUGCGUAACGCGUGGGAACCUGCCCUUAGGUUCGGAAUAACUCCCCGAAAGGGGUGCUAAUACCGGAUAAUGUCUUCGGACCAAAGAUUUAUCGCCUUUGGAUGGGCCCGCGUUGGAUUAGCUAGUUGGUAGGGUAAAAGCCUACCAAGGCGACGAUCCAUAGCUGGUUUGAGAGGAUGAUCAGCCACACUGGGACUGAGACACGGCCCAGACUCCUACGGGAAGCAGCAGUGGGGAAUAUUGGACAAUGGGCGAAAGCCUGAUCCAGCAAUGCCGCGUGAGUGAUGAAGGCCUUAGGGUUGUAAAGCUCUUUUACCCGGGAUGAUAAUGACAGUACCGGGAGAAUAAGCUCCGGCUAACUCCGUG